rnacentral:rRNA from 1 species
UUAACGCUGAGGUGUGAUGACGAGCCACUACGGUGGUGAAGUAACUGAUGCCCUGCUUCCAGGAAAAGCCUCUAAGCUCCAGGUAACACGAAAUCGUACCCCAAACCGACACAGGUGGUCAGGUAGAGAAUACCAAGGCGCUUGAGAGAACUCGGGUGAAGGAACUAGGCAAAAUGGUGCCGUAACUUCGGGAGAAGGCACGCUG